AGUGAACGCUGGCGGUAGGCCUAACACAUGCAAGUCGAACGGCAGCACAGUAAGAGCUUGCUCUUACGGUUGGCGAGUGGCGGACGGGUGAGAAAUACAUCGGAAUCUACUUUUUCGUGGGGGAUAACGUAGGGAAACUUACGCUAAUAUCGCAUACGACCUACGGGUGAAAGCAGGGGAUCUUCGGACCUUUUGCGAUUGAAUUAGCCGAUGUCGGAUUAGCUAGUUGGCGGGGUAAGGGCCCACCAAGGCGACGAUCCGUAGCUGGUCUGAGAGGAUGAUCAGCCACACUGGAACUGAGACACGGUCCAGACUCCUACGGGAGGCAGCAGUGGGGAAUAUUGGACAAUGGGCGCAAGCCUGAUCCAGCCAUACCGCGUGGGUGAAGAAGGCCUUCGGGUUGUAAAGCCCUUUUGUUGGGAAAGAAAAGCAGCAGGUUAAUACCCCGCUGUUCUGACGGUACCCAAAGAAUAAGCACCGGCUAACUUCGUG
rnacentral:rRNA from 1 species